rnacentral:antisense_RNA from 1 species
ACGUAAAUAGCACGCUAUUAUUUCUUUUAUAUCAAUUUGGGUAAGUCGUUCCACAAACUUUGGUAGGGGAGUGGGACGACUUCUUUUUAUUUUGCU